AAUCUACAAUAUAUUUCAAGGUGAGGGUUUUCAAUUAAUGUGAAAAUUAUUAUUUAAAAAACAUUAUCAAUAUAUUUUUAUUUUGAUUAGACUUGUUAUAAAUAUUGUUCACUAAAGCAGCAUCAGUAAAUAAUCAUAAAAGAUCAUCUAAACAUGCCUACUGUAAAUAUUUAGCCAUUCGAUUACAUUAUAUUGAUACAUAGCUACUGAUUGACUUGGAGAUUAAUUUCGUUACAAACUGCAAUUCAUCAAAAUUUGGGCUGAUCAGGUUAUCAUUUGAAUUCCCG